GCGUUUUCUUGUCCUUCUAAAAGAAACCAUGGCUGCAAAAGAAGUCCUGGGUAAAGUAAAGCCAAAAAUGAAAUUCAUUGGUAAAAUGGCAGCUAAAAUGGGA
rnacentral:lncRNA from 11 species